UACGUAGGGUGCAAGCGUUAAUCGGAAUUACUGGGCGUAAAGCGUGCGCAGGCGGUGAUGUAAGCCAGGUGUGAAAUCCCCGGGCUUAACCUGGGAACUGCAUUUGUGACUGCAUAGCUAGAGUACGGUAGAGGGGGAUGGAAUUCCGCGUGUAGCAGUGAAAUGCGUAGAUAUGCGGAGGAACACCGAUGGCGAAGGCAAUCCCCUGGACCUGUACUGACGCUCAUGCACGAAAGCGUGGGGAGCAAACAGG
rnacentral:rRNA from 1 species